rnacentral:lncRNA from 1 species
AGGAGGUGGAUCUGAGAAGAUAUUGCUAUGGUUUAUCUCAGAGUGUUUGGCCUAUGUUUUCAGGUCUAUUGCUGUAGAACUGGGAUACUGUCACUCAAAAGGACUUCUAGCCACCAACUCACAGGACAGCCUAGGUAUGUAAUAAAACUGCAUCUUCAGAAGAUAGCAAAGGAGUGUGAACAGGUAAGGAUGGUCAAGUCACCCAAAAUCACCCAGCAGCAGAAGAAGCACAUGAAAGAUAAGAUGUUCAGGUUGCCACAAACUAGAGCAUUUUUAAGGAAACAAAACACCUGUAAUUUUUAUAUUUUGACUAAGACAUUUUCACAGCAUCUUUUCAGGCUGGGAACAAAUGGUAUUUCCAUAAUGACAAGAGUUUUGUAAACAUUAAGAAUAGCACAUGCCAAGCCCUUCCAUGGGAAAGCUUGUGCAUUUGAAACAAAUGGUCUCUUCCCAGUAAUUGGCACAUAGCAGGUGUUCAGAAACUCUUUGUGUAUCAGAUUAAAUGAGGAAACUGGAGGCAUGACAGGACCAAGUAUUUUCCCAAAUGGUUCAUGAACAUUGGAAUGGUAGAAUUAUUAACAUAAAAUCAUUUUAUAGUGCAGUUGAAGGAUUUCUGUUAUAUUUAGAAAUUUUAAAAGAAUGAAAAGAAAGCCUUGUCAAAAUAGUGAAGAUGUCUACAAAUGCGAUUCCAUAAUGUGGACAAACAGAGAAAUAUGGAGCAAGAAGAGAAAUUGAAAAGAAGCCAAUAUUACGUGUUUUCUCUUACUGUUAGGGCACAAAGGAAAAGAAGUAGAUAUGAUAACAGAACGGUAUCUGCCAUUUUCACAUCAAUUAAAAGCCAAGAAAUAAAGACUUCUUUUAAUGAGAAAUAUCAAAGUCUACUUUCAGCCAAAUUUUUAUACCAGGCUUCCUUUUCUAGUCUGUUUGGGCUACUAUAAUACAAUGCUAUAUACUGGGUGGCUUAUAAAAAACACAAAUUUAUUUCUUACAGUUCUGGAAGUUAGGAAGUUCACAAUCAAGACCCCAACAGAUUUGGUGUCUGGUGAGAACCAGCUUGCUGGUCCAUAGAUGGCUGUCUUCUUCCUAUGUCCUCACACAUCAGAAAAGCAAGGCAGCUUUCUGGGGUCUCUUUUAUAAGGAUGCUAAUCCCAUUCAUGAGGGCUCCCUUCUCAGGAUGUAACUGCCUCCCAAACACCCCACCUCCUAAUGCUGUUAUACUGAGGAUUAGGUUUCUACAUAUGAUUUGGACGCUUAUGAACAUUCAGUCUAUACUUCUUCCCAAAAGAACUGAAAUUCUGGAGUUCAAGUGCUGGCUUUACAACAAUAGAUUUGAGACUACAAGCCAGUUGACUAAGGCUGUUUAGAAAUCAGAAACCUAUUAAAUUUUAGGAAUGAAACUUAGAUUAGGCUACACAAUGAUUUUGAAGAUAUGUACAUGAUAUAUUUUCUAUUAAAAUAUCCGUAUUUUUUUGUAUUUUGAUCUAAGUGAUUGGCCAAUCACUUGAAUAGAGUAAUUGCUAAUAAGAUUAAUUAUAUUCUUUUUAUUUUAUGAUAUCUCAUUUUUUAUAAUCAAUAUAAAAUUAGUAGAAAAGCAGCUUGAAAUUUUCGUAUAAUUAAGGAAAAUGGUCUCAAUUCCUUUCCCUUUGAUUAGUGAGCAGGGAAAGCUCUUGUUUGACAUUUACUGAUAUUUAAACUCUUAAAUGAAAUUUGUGUAAGGUUAAAAAUUUACAUGGACUUUAUUCCUUUUGUUGAUUUUAUUGCAUUUUAUAAUUACACAGACUAUAUGAAAUGCCAAAAAUUGUAUUAAAUGUCAAAAAUUGUGCUUAAACAUAGCUAAUCCAAAUCUAUAGAAAAUGUUUAAACUUAGUCAUCAUUCUAUACCAAAUGCUUUUAAAACUUAUUUUUUUAACUUAAGAAAUUUUAUUUUGGAACUACUCUGUGUCUUGAACUAUAUUAAUUCUUGUGGGCUAAUAAAAUGCAUAUGACAGUUCAUAUUGUGUAGACUAUUACACUCUAUUUGGGGUGAAAGAAUAAAAAAUAUAAUAUGAUUUCUUCACACUUCAGAGAUUUAUGUGGGCUGAAAGGUUUAGAGAAGUUCUUAUCAAAUAAGAAAAGACUUGUAUAAAUCGUCUUAUGGAAUUGGACCAGGGUUGGAGUGGGGAAGAAGAGGAAGGACAUAUUUGGAGAGAAUAUAGCAGGAUGUCUGUAGGUCCGUUAAUUCUGCGCUGUGGCAGAUGAGAAACAUGUUUGGAGGAUGAGAAAAAAGUGAAAGUUAUUGUGAUUUUGAGAUCCCAGGAAAGGAUUUAUACAAGAUUUGCAAGAGAGUUGGUAUUUUGGAGAAGCAUCUUCUAGGAUAGCUGUAGAAGGUCUGGGAGGCUCCUGUAAGUGAUGGAAAUAGUAGCUGCCGUCCCAGAAGUGUGUGUUUAGUUUCAUGGUGCUAGAUAUAACUGUCUUCUCUCUGGGGAGAGUUCGUUGUUUUAAAACAGUCCUAUGAGUUAUCAGAAUACAACAUGCAACACAGAAGUCCUGCCAUAACCAUUGAGAAUUAGUAAAUACACACUCAGAAGAAUGAAUAACGGAUGUUUAAACUCAUUCAACAUGGACAAUCAGAAGUAUUUUCCUUUACACAUGAAAAUUCUUUAGCAGUUGUCGUGAUUGUGUUGCAAAAUGAGCCUCAGUUAUUUUUCAACAUUUUAUUUUUUUUCAUUUAAUGUAGCAAAACGUGGAAGAGAAAGAAUUGGGUUUGGAAUAAAAUGGACAAAAGGUGCGUUCUUCCUCUUCCUCCAAGACAUUUAACCUCUUCACAGCGAAUGAUAACACCCUCUUCACAGGAUGCUCUUAAGCAUAACUUAGUAGUAGCAGUAAUAAUAUUGGCUAAUAUUUAUGAAUAUUUUGCACUUAUCAUGUAUUUAUCACUUUUUUGAGAAUUAAAUGAAAUAAUCUUAGUAAAAUAGCAUGUAGCCAUAAAUUAUUCUUCAGAUUUAAAAAAAAAAGUUGAAAGAGAAAUUGUGAUUUAUAGUAUCUUCUAUCAGAUUAAUAAAGACUUUCCAGCCACCCCCAUUCUUUUUUAGGGCACUUAACUUGUUGGAUUCACAAUCCAAUUCUAUUGGAGAUUACUUUAAAUUUAGCAAUAGAGUUUAAUUUAUAUAAACAUCUUGAGAUAACAAGUCCAGGACUUGGUUUUCUUUAGUGCCUUAUGGAAACCUAAUUUAUUGUUGUUGUUACUUAAUAUACAUCAUUACAUUAUUAAAAACAAACGGUGGGGAGUUCUCCUGUGAUGCAAUGAGUUAAAGAUCCAGCAUUGUCACUGCAGUGGCUUGGGUCACUGCUGUGGAGAGGGUAUGAUUCCUGGCCCAGGAACUUCCACGUGCCCCUGGUGCUACCAAAAAAAAAACAAACAAAAAAAAAA